rnacentral:tRNA from 1 species
GGAGAGAUGGCUCAGUGAGUAAGAGCANUUGCUGUGAAAGCAAGAGGGCCUGGGUUCAAAUCCCCAGCACCU